CUUGUAAAACCAGCGGACCUCCUCGGAGCCCAGCUCCCCCACCACAUCGUACCGGUGCCGGAUGCUGCUGGCCCGGCUCCGCUUGCGGUCCACUGAGGUGUCGCUCUCGCUGAAGUCGGCCUCCUCGCCCUCCAGGGAGGGCAAAGGUCAGGAACAUGGAGAAGAAGAUGCCAAACGAUUGGGGCCUAGGACACCCAUGACACAUGGGCUCAGGCGCUUCCUCAGGAUGGAAUAUGGUUGCAUACCCAAGGAUUUUCUUUAUGGUGAGAUAGGUGGAACCAGAUGACCAGUGGAAUGCCCAAAGAUGCUUGCAAGUGUGACUUGAAGGCCCUAAACAUUGAUUACUGUACCUGGCAACCUCUAGCUGACAACAGAAUGGUGAUGCCUCCUCUGGGCUGGCGAGUGCCACACCAAUGACCAGUGGCUUUGGCGACUUGACAACAGGUGUCAGUGCCGGAAACAGCAAUCCACAACAACACCUGGAAGCUUCAUGUGCCGCACUUGUGGUAGAACCUGCCUCAAUGAUUGGCCUCUUGAGCCAUCAACAAGGAAGUGCAAUAUGAAGAUACGCCAUCUGAAAUGAAUUGUUUGCUCUGUGUCUAUCAUCUUUCACUGAUGAUGACAGUGAUAGAAACUCUUAAAUUUAUGUUGGAAUGGAUUAAACUUCCUCAGGCAUUAAAGGAGGUUCAGUGCUUAUCCCAAGAGAUAUAAUAUCCCAAUAUAUAAGCCUACACAAUUGAGUGUCAGUAACUCAUUUAAUCAAGGGUAGACCCAAUGUGUUACAGUGGCUGAAGAAGUCGCGUUUCAUUUUACUACAUGGGAUUCCAGGAUUUAAACUUUUUUUAGAGUUGAGAAACUGGGAUUAUUUAUAAUUAGCCCAUUGAUUUCUGCUAAUUAAAUAAAGUUGGCUGUCGUUAUUUAUAAUCUCA